GAUUGAUGAAUUAAAUCCAGUAUCUAAAAAUCAUGAUGAUCGAUUUGGGAAUGGAACUGCAAGC
rnacentral:misc_RNA from 1 species